rnacentral:snRNA from 1 species
AUUGCUUCUCAGCCUUUUGGUUAAGGUCAAGUGUA